GCUUUGGUGGUUCAGUGGUAGCAUUCCUGCCUACCAUGAGAAGGCCUGGGUUCAAUUCCUGGCCAAUGCA
rnacentral:tRNA from 1 species